UACGGAGGGUCCAAGCGUUAUCCGGAUUUAUUGGGUUUAAAGGGUCCGUAGGCGGGAAAAUAAGUCAGUGGUGAAAGCCUGCAGCUCAACUGCAGAACUGCCAUUGAAACUGUUUUUCUUGAAUAUAGAUGAAGUGGGCGGAAUAUAUCAUGUAGCGGUGAAAUGCAUAGAUAUGAUAUAGAACACCAAUUGCGAAGGCAGCUCACUAAACUAUUAUUGACGCUGAGGGACGAAAGUGUGGGGAGCGAACAGG
rnacentral:rRNA from 1 species